rnacentral:snoRNA from 1 species
GUGACGAGACCAGGCUGGGUGAUGUGUGAUCGUGGUUAAUAGCGCUGA